rnacentral:rRNA from 1 species
UGAUGGAGAGUUUGAUCCUGGCUCAGGACGAACGCUGGCGGCGUGCUUAACACAUGCAAGUCGAACGAACCCGAGACUUCGGUCUCAAUGGGUGAGUGGCGAACGG